rnacentral:piRNA from 1 species
UGUAAACAAAACCAAUAAUAA